rnacentral:rRNA from 1 species
AGAACGAACGCUGGCGGCAGGCUUAACACAUGCAAGUCGAGCGCCUCGCAAGAGGAGCGGCAGACGGGUGAGUAACACGUGGGAAUCUACCCAUCACUACGGAACAACUCCGGGAAACUGGAGCUAAUACCGUAUACGACCGAGAGGUGAAAGAUUUAUCGGUGAUGGAUGAGCCCGCGUUGGAUUAGCUAGCUGGUGGGGUAAAGGCCUACCAAGGCGACGAUCCAUAGCUGGUCUGAGAGGAUGAUCAGCCACAUUGGGACUGAGACACGGCCCAAACUCCUACGGGAGGCAGCAGUGGGGAAUAUUGGACAAUGGGCGCAAGCCUGAUCCAGCCAUGCCGCGUGAGUGAUGAAGGCCUUAGGGUUGUAAAAUACUUUCGACCGGGGAAGAUAAUGACGGUACCGGAGAAGAACGCCCGGCUAACUUCGCGCCAGCAGCCGC